rnacentral:rRNA from 1 species
UACGUAGGUGGCAAGCGUUUGUCCGGAUUUAUUGGGUUUAAAGGGUGCGUAGGCGGUUUUUUAAGUCAGUGCUGAAAUACUCCAGCUUAACUGGAGGGGUGGCAUUGAUACUGGAAGACUUGAGUACAGAUGAGGUAGGCGGAAUUGACGGUGUAGCGGUGAAAUGCAUAGAUAUCGUCAAGAACACCGAUAGCGAAGGCAGCUUACUGGGCUGUAACUGACGCUGAUGCACGAAAGUGUGGGGAUCAAACAGG